GACGAACCGUGCAAACGUUAUUCGGAAUCACUGGGCUUAAAGGGCGCGUAGGCGGGUUGUCAAGUCAGGGGUGAAAUCUUUCGGCUCAACCGGAAAACAGCUUCUGAUACUGGCAGCCUGGAGGGAGGUAGGGGCAGAUGGAACUUCCGGUGGAGCGGUGAAAUGCGUAGAUAUCGGAAGGAACGCCGGUGGCGAAAGCGAUCUGCUGGACCUCUUCUGACGCUGAUGCGCGAAAGCCAGGGGAGCGAACGGG
rnacentral:rRNA from 1 species